rnacentral:misc_RNA from 1 species
CCGAGUUUACAACUCCCAACCCCUGUGAACAUACCACUUGUUGCCUCGGCGGAUCAGCCCGCUCCCGGUAAAACGGGACGGCCCGCCAGAGGACCCCUAAACUCUGUUUCUAUAUGUAACUUCUGAGUAAACCAUAAAUAAAU